rnacentral:rRNA from 1 species
UACGUAGGGUGCGAGCGUUAUUCGGAAUUACUGGGCGUAAAGCGUGCGCAGGCGGCUUUUUGAGUCGGGUGUGAAAUCCCCGGGCUUAACCUGGGAAUGGCAUUCGGGACUGCAAGGCUGGAGUGCGGCAGAGGAGACUGGAAUUCCUGGUGUAGCAGUGAAAUGCGUAGAUAUCAGGAGGAACACCGAUGGCGAAGGCAGGUCUCUGGGCUGACACUGACGCUCAUGCACGAAAGCGUGGGGAGCAAACAGG